GCGAGCCAACCCAAGAUGGCCGCCUCGCCCGUCCCUCCCAGCCAGCUUGAGCGCGGAGGAGGGAGGGAGGGCCGAGGAGGAGGAGGAGAGCGGACGGGCGCGUCAACCCGAAACAUAUGGUGACGCGCAGUGUACAGGAAGCGGCCAUUAACUCCAGGAACCCACAUGCCUGUUGAGAUAAUCAGGUAAAUCCUUUGUGGUCCAUUUCCUCAAACCCAGUGGAACUCAUUCUCAAAGGAAGACUGACUGCCUUGAGACCUACAUUGUUCUGUCAAGACUCACAGAUCCAAAGGAACAAUUCAACAGGAGAUGCUUCAAGGACUUGCUUAUCCAAUUACACAAUGAAGAAUCAUAUUUAUGAAUAACUGUAGAAAUCAAUCUCAUUAUUCACACUAUGGGAUAGAAGGAUCUGAAGGUGAAAAAGUUUUUUUUUUCACAUCAACAUAUUUAAAUGGCCACCCAGUUACAGGCAUUCAAUACACAGAAUCUCAGAUCGAUUUCUGUAUGUCCUGAAUCCACAAAAUGUGUUGCUAAAGGGGUUUCUAAGACCCUAUUCCAGAUCUUAGACUUGUGCAAUCUCACCCUGAUAGCUCUUCCCAACCUUCCAGUAUAAUCAGACCACAUGGACAUUCUAAUAGAUACUCACACCGUUUGGUGUUACAUGCUAUUAGCAAGGCUUGCCUUUUUGUAAAGUUGUGCCUUCCAUUUUGUUUCCUGUGGCAGGAAUGGGAAAGGAAAUGGCAGAUGCAACUUUUUAAAAGGUAGGUCUUGCUAAUAGCCAUCCAGGGCAAUAUAAAUGCACUUUUUUCAAAGUUUGAUGUUACACAGCGCAGGCAAUAAUUGUUUUGAUGAAAGCUGUACUUAAAUAAGAUUCUCUAAUGUUAAAAGAGAAUCUGCACUGUUUUCCCCACGAAAAACAGGAUCCUUUCACUUCCAUUGCACAAACACAACCACACUGUCAUCUUUCCCUCAGACAGAGUGUAAUAGAUUUACCAAUCUUUUAACCCUUCCUGCAAGCUUCUCACCCUAUGGAGAUUUAGGAACUGGCCCCCACAUGGGAAGCUGAACUCCAAUCCCCCAGACAACCCAGGGUACACAUACCACACAUCUCAUUACCCAGAUCAUGUUUCACAACAGCUAUGCACCAGGACUAAGCUGCCAUUAAAGCCUAUCUCACAACUGAAGCUCUAAAAGAAGGUAACAGAGCUUGGGCUGCUUGCUUCAAUUUUACAAGCAGUUUACUAGGUUGCAUAAGUGGCUCCUGCUCAAGAGUAUUCAGAUUAAAGUGCAUUUGAGCUAGCCUUUGGAUGUUGGCCAGCAUAUCUAAUAAUUAACAAAAGGUGUUUACUACCCUCAGAUUUAUGGGUCAUGCAUGAUAUUAUGCCCUCUGAUAUUCUUUUAACAUAAAAAGAAAGGCAAGGUCUACAUUUUUAGUUGAAAAACUUAAAAAUAUGAAUUAAACUACACGUAGCAUUUUGAAUGUGCAGCAACCAGUAUUUACUGCAAGUGGCCCAUCUUUAUAACAUCCCAGAGGUGAGAGUUACAGGCCUUAUAAAGCACUGAGAAGAAAAUAAUGUGUUGCCUUGUGACUGGCCCUCAGAUUUCCUGUUCUUUAAAUAUCCUGCUCAUGACAGGUAUAUUUUACCUUAGAAUAUGUAUCAGAUAUCUUCAGUUGCACCAUGUAAAUCUCAACAUCACAAAAGUUAAAACUACAAAAUCUGACUUUGUUGUUUUUCCUGGUUGAGAGUGAGGCUGACAAUGAUUGCUACGCAGCGGUUUUUUUCCCAAACUUUGAUAAAAACAGUCGUUCUUGAUAGUCCCUCAAAAAAUAGAUGAGCAAUUAGAUAUUGUUGCAGGUAAUCUGGUUAGACUGAAACAUGUUUAGAGAAAGGUCAGUUGUGUUUGUAAAAACUUUAAUUCACUGCAGCAUUGUAAUUUGAAACAAAGGGGAAAGAGUAAUCUUGGAAAUGUUAGAAAAUAUGAAUACCCAUCAGUUCACUGUGAAUUCAGCUCUUCGGUUCAGAACAUAACCAAGUGGGGCUUUCAACAUGGAGGGGGAACUCAGGCACCAAUCCAGUACCAGCUGGAGCAGGGGAUGCAGGCACUGAGCUGUGGCACAGCCCAGCUGGAACAGCUGCUCUUUUCCAGCUUCAACUCCCACUGUUUCCAGCACCUUCAGCAGGCUACACACCCUGGCCAGACUCCUGUGGUUUCUGAGUAGGACACAUCCUUGUGGGUGAAGACAAGCUCAGGACUGGAGCAGCAGCAGUCAUCACAGCUUCCAACAUAUGAAUCUCCUCACCCCCUUUAAAUAGGGGGAUCUCUGCCUUUCAUAUUGACAUAGCUUCUGACAUAACUAGCAGACAAACUGGUUAUUGAUACAAUCAGCUAUUUCUUUAUUUGCUACAGAUGAAUGCUGCUCUUCUAAUGCAUGGCUUUUGAAGUUCCCAACAACUUAUGAGUUAAUGCUUAUGAGUGCAGUUUGGCACACAGUUUUGCCAUUGUAAAUCCUUUUUUUCAUCAGAAAGGAGAGAAUCACUUUACUCCCAGUAGUACCAUCUGAAGUAAGCAAUAUAUGGAUUGUGUGUGAUAGAAUUAUUCCAGGAUUCAUAUAUAUCAAUUAUUGAAGACAUUGAGAAAUUCCUUUGGAACAACUAUGUUCAACUGAGUAAAACACUUGUUAGAUUUAAAAAAUAAUAAUUAUACAUACAAUUGAAAAAAAUUCUAAAAGAUAGUAAAUGAUUAACAAAAAGAUAAAUAUGAACAAAUGCUGACUGUAUGUGUCUGAAGAAAUGCUGUGAAUAGCUUAAUCUUAACUCAAGUCUGCCAAUAGUAAUUCCAAUUCCUUAAUGUGGUGCUUUUAUUUUCGUACUGCCACCCUGUGGUAUACUGCAAACACACCUACCAUUCCUGAGUAUAAACUGUUCUUCUAGUAGUUGGUUCAUGCUCUGCUGUAAAGAAGUAAAAACCUUUCCUUUAUACAAAACUAAGAUGAAAAUCUUUGUCCACACUGGGAAUAGAUUCUCCCUGCCAAAUUUUCAACAAGUUUUUCCUGAGAAAUUGCCACAAAAGAAAGUGUUGUUUUUCUGCCCAUAACACAUGUUGAUUUUCUGCCCUUAACACUUUCUUUUGUGGUAAUUUCUCAGGAAAAACUUGUUGAAAAUUUGGCAGGAAGAAUAUGCAUGCAAACUAGGGACACACUUAAGAUGUGGUGAGUAGGGCAAAGAGAGAUUUGUAAGGGAGACUCUGAUGUUUAAGAGGCAGAAACCAUACAUUGGUUGAAAUGUUAAUGAGCAAAUUUGAAGAGUUUCUGUUGGAGUUAUUUUUGUAUCUGUUAAAAUAAUUAUAGAGAAGUUAGUAAAAUGAUUGCUGUCCCCUUCAAGCAAAGAAAUCUGUGCCUUUCAUAUGUAUUAUAUGCAGACCUACAGCUAUAGUUAUUUCUUCUUCUGAAGAAUAAUCGCAUGUAGACUAAAACCUGGUGUAAUUCUCACUGAGCUGAUAAUCUUUGUUGGAACUGUACUUCUUAAAAAAUUCUAUAACAUUUUUUCAUAUAGGUUAACAACAAAAACUCAAUCAGCCUGUCAAAUAUAGCAAGAAUUGGCUAUUAUAUAAUAUGUUAUUUAUAUCAUAGAGUAACAGCCCAAUCCUAUGGGCCUGAAUCACAUCAUGGAGCCGGCGCAGGGCAGCCUUUGCCCCUCCCUGCCAGCGUAAGGGGCACCCCUGCCAGCAGAGGGGACAAAGGGGCUAGCAGCUAGCUGCCUCUCUGCUCCAUGGUGGUAACACCCAGAAGUUGGGGCUGCUGCAGAGCUGCAUUGCUGUCCAAUUGGAUGUCUGCCUGCGGGGCAUUCCUGGGGCUUCCACCCCAAGUUUGCAGACAGUUACAUGCUCCACUUUUUGGGUGGCAUAAGCCCAUUUAGCCUUAUAGAGAGCUUUUCAGCGAGAGGGGGAAGGUCUGCUUUUCUGCUUCCCCAUGCUGCCAAAAAGCCCUCUGGAGUUAGCGGGACGGUGUGGCUGCAAUGCUGUCCCCAGUCGCCUGGAGCUAUGGAUUGGGCUGCCUGUCUUUCACAUAAUUUCUAUGAAGAUUUGAAAGAUCACUUACUAUUGAUUAUGCUAUUUAUGUUAUUUAUGGGCCAGCAAAGAAUAGGACUUGCAAUAAUGGGUUUAAAUUACACAUGGAAAGGUACCAGCUGGAUAUUAGGGAAAAGAUUUACAUUAAGAAUAGAUUAGGAGUGGAAGUGGCUGCCUAGGGAGGUGGUGAGCUCCCCUCACUGGCAGUCUUCAAGCAGCAGCUGAACAAACACUUGUCAGGGAUCCUGUGGGCUGAUUCUGCACUGAGCAGGAGUUUGGACUAGAUGGCCGCUUCCAAUUCUAUGAUUUUAAGCAAUUCCCCAACAGAAAAUGCACACGUAUAUGCAGUUCUCAGUCUUUCAGAAUGUAUGGGUAACACUUAACUUCUUGUCAAGCCAAUUUCUUGAGUCAACAAAUUAUAAAAGGGCAGUUUUUUCUCCUAUAUGUUAUUUAUGUCAAACGAAUCCUGUGUGAACAAUGUCACACACCCCCUCACUAUCUCUGAUCCAUGUUGAGUUCCAUGAUCCCAGAAAUCAAUUUUUACGGGGGUCUAAAUGGACUAAAGGGGUGAGGGGAAUGUGUGAAAGAUUCUGAUUCUCGCUCUUACAGAAUGCAGAAACAUAUCUGUUGAACAAUAGCAAGCAGCAGCAUUUUUACUUUCUGUGUAUGCUUGAACAAUAUUACCAUGUGUAGGUGAAUAAACUCAACAGUUAGACCUGGCCCUUGGUGACUGGUCCAAACAACAACCAUCCCCAGUUCAAUUAAACACUAAUAUAGGGUAGUAGAUCAAUCAAAUUUGCUUCUGAGAGCAUUUUAAUACAUUGUUAGGCCUUUUAACAAUGUCAAGUAACACUUCAAUGAAUGUGAAUGAUCACUGAACAAGUUCCUUCGUGGCAUUUCACCUGGACCAUCAUGGUCAGUCUGCAGCGUUACAACAAAGAAACAAAAAAAAAUUGAAUUUUCAAAAGUGAAAUUUUUUUUGUAAGAAGUAGAGAGCCAUUGUGAUAUAGUGAUUAAGAGUGGCAGACUCUAAUCUGGAGAGUCAGGUUUGAUUCCCUGCUCCUCCACAUGAAGCCUGCUGGGUGACCCUGGGCCAGCCACAGUUCUUUCAGAGCUCUCUCGGCCCACACAGAAGCAGGCAAUAGCAUGCUACCUCUGAAUGUCUCUUGCUUGAAAAUGCCACAGGGUUGCCUUAAAGCAGCUUUGUCUUGAGGCACUUUCCACCACCACCAAGGUGGAUUUUUUUAAAGGCAAUAGAGCUAAGCAGGUAGCAGGUCAAUUCUCCUGGCCGGGAAGAUGAAUGCAUGAGGUCCACAUGAGAUACUGCGCUACUAGGCUGGUCCCUGAUGCUUUAACAAGCACACCGCCCAUUUGUUCUCACUAACAAAUGACACCAUCAUGAAAUAAAAAAAGGAAUCUUUCAUUUUCACAGUGGCGUUCUUGACUUUAUGGAAUAUUUGACCAUGGUCAAAUAAUAGCCAAUUGGCUGACUGGUGUGCCGGUGCUAAGCAGCUUGCCAUCACAUAGCUGCUAAAUAUAGAGCAUAUAUGUGGGUUUCCUCUGUAGUCAACGCACAGUUUCUGUUGAGAUUGGCAGGUUCGAUGAUAAUGGAGAACUGUGGUUGCUUGGAAAUGACAGCUGUUAAGAAUUACUGUCACUCUUACUUCACUACGCAGCUUCUAUGCACUAGAAUUUAAACAGAAGACUUGGUCUGCUGAAUUAGUCUACACCAGUCACAGAAGCCAGGCAAAAGCCAUCCCAUGAGCUCUCCUCCUGGACUAAAAGCAUUCAGGUGCCACCUAUAGCCAGCAUUCAGGCAGGAAGUGUGCAAAUCCACAUUGCUGUACUUACACAUGUUUCAGUCCUCCACCUUCUUGAACAGAGAAUUCCAGUUAGAAUGUUAAUUCUGGAGACCUGUGGUAUGCAAAUGCAGGCUUAUGAAUUCACUGGAGCUAACGGUUUUCCCAUUCCAAACCAGGAUUCUAAACCAGGGUUUAAUUUAGAUUUAGAAUCCUGGCUUAUAGGAGAAAAAUGAUUCUGGUCAAUGCAAUGUACCUGUAUUUGUAUGUCCUCCCUAGUGCCAAUCAUACAGUCUUCAAUAUUGGACAAAAGCAGUGCUAUUUAUUCAUGAAUCUGGUCUGUUUUCCUCAUUUGUAUAUUGCUCCUUUUGCAUCUGCUUGUUCUAAUUGAUUAUUUUUGUCUGUUUUUAAUAGUAUUUUUUGCUUAAUAAUUGUAAGUACCCUUCCCAGUUUGUUUUCACAGACCAGGAUAUAAAUGUUUUAAGUAAAAUAAAUCACGCCUGUAAGAGAAAA